GAGUUUGAUCAUGGCUCAGGACGAACGCUGGCGGCGUGCUUAACACAUGCAAGUCAAGGGGUAGCAAUACCACUGGCGCACGGGUGAGUAACGCGUAGAUUAUCUGCCCCUAUCUCCGGAAUAACAUCAAGAAAUUGGUGCUAAAAACGGAUGAGGCACAAUGCGUCAAAGGUAACGGAUAGGGAUGAGUCUGCGUCUGAUUAGCUAGUUGGUGAGGUAACGGCUCACCAAGGCGACGAUCAGUAGCUGGUCUGAGAGGACGAUCAGCCACACGGGUACUGAGACACGGACCCGACUCCUACGGGAGGCAGCAGUAGGGAAUAUUGGACAAUGGGCGAAAGCCUGAUCCAGCGAUGCCGCGUGAGUGAUGAAGGCCUUCGGGUCGUAAG
rnacentral:rRNA from 1 species